rnacentral:rRNA from 1 species
CACCGGCGGCUCGAGUGGUGGCCACUUUUAUUGGGUCUAAAGCGUCCGUAGCCGGCUUGGCAAGUCCCCUGGGAAAUCUGGCGGCUUAACCGUCAGGCGUCCAGAGGAUACUGCCAGGCUUGGGACCGGGAGAGGUGAGAGGUACCUCAGGGGUAGGGGUGAAAUCUUGUGAUCCCUGAGGGACCACCAGUGGCGAAGGCGUCUCACUAGAACGGGUCCGACGGUCAGGGACGAAAGCUGGGGGCUCGAACCGG